GGGCUAGCGUUGCUCGGAAUCACUGGGCGUAAAGGGUGCGUAGGCGGUUCUUUUAGUCAGGGGUGAAAUCCUGGAGCUCAACUCCAGAACUGCCUUUGAUACUGAGGAUCUUGAGUUCGGGAGAGGUGAGUGGAACUGCGAGUGUAGAGGUGAAAUUCGUAGAUAUUCGCAAGAACACCAGUGGCGAAGGCGGCUCACUGGCCCGAUACUGACGCUGAGGCACGAAAGCGUGGGGAGCAAACAGG
rnacentral:rRNA from 1 species